rnacentral:rRNA from 1 species
UAGGGAAUCUUCGGCAAUGGACGAAAGUCUGACCGAGCAACGCCGCGUGAGUGAAGAAGGUUUUCGGAUCGUAAAACUCUGUUGUUAGAGAAGAACAAGGACGUUAGUAACUGAACGUCCCCUGACGGUAUCUAACCAGAAAGCCACGGCUAACUACGUGCCAGCAGCCGCGGUAAUACGUAGGUGGCAAGCGUUGUCCGGAUUUAUUGGGCGUAAAGCGAGCGCAGGCGGUUUCUUCAGUCUGAUGUGAAAGCCCCCGGCUCAACCGGGGAGGGUCAUUGGAAACUGGGAGACUUGAGUGCAGAAGAGGAGAGUGGAAUUCCAUGUGUAGCGGUGAAAUGCGUAGAUAUAUGGAGGAACACCAGUGGCGAAGGCGGCUCUCUGGUCUGUAACUGACGCUGAGGCUCGAAAGCGUGGGGAGCAAACAGG